rnacentral:snoRNA from 1 species
AUCAGUCAUUAGUCACUGGGCUUGUUAUGAUGAUUAACCAAUCACCAUCUUUCGGCUGACGCCUGAU